UNGCUACGGUUUGCCUAUGAUCUUUGCA
rnacentral:piRNA from 1 species